rnacentral:rRNA from 1 species
UACGGAGGAUCCGAGCGUUAUCCGGAUUUAUUGGGUUUAAAGGGUGCGCAGGCGGGAGAUUAAGUCGUCGGUGAAAUUUUGCAGCUCAACUGUAAAAGUGCCUUCGAAACUGGUUUCCUUGAGUGUAGAUGAAGUAGGCGGAAUUUGUGGUGUAGCGGUGAAAUGCAUAGAUAUCACGAGGAACUCCGAUUGCGAAGGCAGCUUACUAAGCUACUACUGACGCUCAGGCACGAAGGCGUGGGGAUCAAACAGGAUUAGAUACCCUGGUA